CGCCGGUGGUAGUUUUCAGCUCUUCGGCCCACCAUCCCCUUUCCCGUCCCCAACACACGCACACACAACUCGCCCCCCAAAUCGAUCCACCACCGCGCCUCCUCUCGAUCCCUCGCCCUCCGUCGCCCUCGCCGUCGCCCUCCGUCGCCCUCGAUCCAUCGCCGUCGCCCUCCAUCGCCCUCCGUCGCCCUCAAUCCGGCAGCGACGCCGCCCCAAUCAGCACCCACCCCACGGAGGAGGAGGAGGUGACGGUGGAGAGGACGCCGGAGGAGGAGGAGGCAAGGCUCAGGUACCUCCAGUUCGUGCAGCAGGCGGCCGCGCAGGCGGUGGUUCUGGCCGCCGCGGCCUACGCCUACGCCAAGCAGGACGCGGGGCCGCUCCGCCCCGGCGUCGACCACGUCGAGGGGACCGUCAAGGCCGUCGUCGGCCCCGUCUACGACCGCUACCACGCCGUGCCGCUCGACCUCCUCAAGUUCCUGGACCGCAAGUUUCACAGGUGGUGUCAGCAGACGGCGUUGACUCCGGUGACCUGCGUUGGGCGUGAUCGGUGGCUGGUAUGCGAUACUAGCCAUGACCGUCGCGGUUGUUCCAUGUGACAGUAUACUUGGUAUAUAUUCUUGUAUUGAGGAUUCUUGUAUAUUCUUGUGUAUAUUCAAACAAUUGAAAAUGCGUGUAAUGGGUACACCUAGUUUUCGUGUAUAUUCUUGUAUAUACUGUGUAUAUUCUGCAUAUUCUGUGUAAUUCGAGCAUAUUUUUUUU